GCAUUGGUAGUUCAGUGCUAGAAUUUUCACCUUCCAUGCAGGAGACCCAGGUUCAAUUCCUGGACAAUACA
rnacentral:tRNA from 1 species